rnacentral:rRNA from 1 species
ACAGGGAUUGCCCCAGUAACGGCGAGUGAAGCGGCAACAGCUCAAAUUUGAAAUCUGGCUCUCGGGCCCGAGUUGUAAUUUGUAGAGGAUGCUUUUGGUGAGGUGCCUUCCGAGUUCCCUGGAACGGGACGCCAUAGAGGGUGAGAGCCCCGUCUGGUUGGACACCGACCCUCUGUAAAGCUCCUUCGACGAGUCGAGUAGUUUGGGAAUGCUGCUCUAAAUGGGAGGUAUAUGUCUUCUAAAGCUAAAUACCGGCCAGAGACCGAUAGCGCACAAGUAGAGUGAUCGAAAGAUGAAAAGAACUUUGAAAAGAGAGUUAAAAAGUACGUGAAAUUGUUGAAAGGGAAGCGCUUGUGACCAGACUUGGGCUUGGUUGAUCAUCCGGGGUUCUCCCCGGUGCACUCUUCCGGCCCAGGCCAGCAUCAGUUCGCCCUGGGGGACAAAGGCUUCGGGAAUGUGGCUCUCUCCGGGGAGUGUUAUAGCCCGCUGCGUAAUACCCUGUGGCGGACUGAGGUUCGCGCAUUCGCAAGGAUGCUGGCGUAAUGGUCAUCAGUGACCCGUCUUGAAACACGGACCAAGGAGUCGUCUUCGUAUGCGAGUGUUCGGGUGUCAAACCCCUACGCGAAAUGAAAGUGAACGCAGGUGAGAGCUUCGGCGCAUCAUCGACCGAUCCUGAUGUUAUCGGAUGGAUUUGAGUAAGAGCAUACGGGGCCGGACCCGAAAGAAGGUGAACUAUGCCUGUGUAGGGUGAAGCCAGAGGAAACUCUGGUGGAGGCUCGCAGCGGUUCUGACGUGCAAAUCGAUCGUCAAACAUGGGCAUGGGGGCGAAAGAC